rnacentral:misc_RNA from 1 species
GAACGCACCUUGCGCUCCUUGGUAUUCCGAGGAGCAUGCCUGUUUGAGUGUCAUGAAACUCUCAAACCCAAGUUUUGGAUUUCGAUCCAUGCUUGAGUUUGGAUUUGGAUGUUUGCCGGUGAUAAGCCGACUCAUCUUAAAAGUAUUAGCUAGAUCUGUCUCUAUGACUGGUUUGACUUGGCAUAAUAAGUAUUUUGCUGAGGACAUCUUCGGAUGGCCAGGACCUAGACUAUUGUCUGCUAACUAAACCAUCACUUUAAGUGCAUCUUCGGAUGUUACUCAUUGUGUAACUUUGACAUCUGGCCUCAAAUCAGGUAGGACUACCCGCUGAACUUAAG